rnacentral:rRNA from 1 species
GACGAACGCUGGCGGCGUGCCUAAUACAUGCAAGUCGAGCGAACAGAUGAGGAGCUUGCUCCUCUGACGUUAGCGGCGGACGGGUGAGUAACACGUGGAUAACCUACCUAUAAGACUGGGAUAACUUCGGGAAACCGGAGCUAAUACCGGAUAAUAUAUUGAACCGCAUGGUUCAAUAGUGAAAGACGGUUUUGCUGUCACUUAUAGAUGGAUCCGCGCCGCAUUAGUUAGUUGGUAAGGUAACGGCUUACCAAGGCAACGAUGCGUAGCCGACCUGAGAGGGUGAUCGGCCACACUGGAACUGAGACACGGUCCAGACUCCUACGGGAGGCAGCAGUAGGGAAUCUUCCGCAAUGGGCGAAAGCCUGACGGAGCAACGCCGCGUGAGUGAUGAAGGUCUUCGGAUCGUAAAACUCUGUUAUUAGGGAAGAACAAAUGUGUAAGUAACUAUGCACGUCUUGACGGUACCUAAUCAGAAAGCCACGGCUAACUACGUG